rnacentral:piRNA from 1 species
UCCCUGUGGAACCUUGCCCAGGCUUACCAGC